UACGUAGGGGGCAAGCGUUGUCCGGAUUUAUUGGGCGUAAAGAGCGUGUAGGCGGCCCGACAGGUCUGCUGUGAAAACUCGAGGCUCAACCUCGAGAUGUCGGCGGAAACCGUCUGGCUAGAGUCCGGAAGAGGAGAGUGGAAUUCCUGGUGUAGCGGUGAAAUGCGCAGAUAUCAGGAAGAACACCCGUGGCUAAGGCGGCUCUCUAGUACGGUACUGACGCUGAGACGCGAAAGCGUGGGGGAGCAAACAGG
rnacentral:rRNA from 1 species